UGGGGGAUAUUGCACAAUGGAGGGAACUCUGAUGCAGCGACGCCGCGUGAGUGAUGAAGGAAUUCGUUUCGUAAAACUCUGUUCUAUGGGAAGAAAAGGACUGUACCAUAGGAGAAAGCUCCGGCUAAAUACGUGCCAGCAGCCGCGGUAAUACGUAUGGAGCGAGCGUUGUCCGGAAUUAUUGGGCGUAAAGGGUGCGCAGGCGGCUUUACAAGUUGGAUGUGAAAUAUUGUGGCUCAACCACAAACGUGCAUCCAAAACUGCAAAGCUUGAGUUAAGGAGAGGUAAGUGGAAUUCCUGGUGUAGCGGUGGAAUGCGUAGAUAUCAGGAGGAAUACCGGUGGCGAAGGCGACUUACUGGACUUAAACUGACGCUCAGGCACGAAAGCGUGGGGAGCAAACAGG
rnacentral:rRNA from 1 species